CUUAAUUAUUCACCUUAGAGCAAAGAUGUUACAAUUACAGCCUUCCCUUUGUCAGGGAACUCCAUGGAGGCCUGGUCUGAAGCACUGGUGUGGCAGAUGUGGUAUACCAACGCUUCCUAUUCCUCUGUAAACGUUGCAGUCCACAUGAAGAGAAAUCUAUUUGAAAGUGGUUGAAUAAAGUCAAGAAGGUAAAUUAGAAUCAUCUGCUCUCCAAAGACUUUCUUGUCUCCAUAAAACAAUGCCCUCUCCUGCCUCCCAGGCUGUGACUAAUUCU
rnacentral:lncRNA from 14 species